ensembl:lncRNA LINC02396 long intergenic non-protein coding RNA 2396
UAUAAGCUUCUGAACAAUGAUGAGGAUGGUGGCAUUUGACAUUCGGUCAAGGGAUGGAGCAGGAAGGCUUGAGAUACACAACCCAUAUCUUUAAGGCACUUUCCAUCUGGUGGAGAAACGGAAAUGUAUGCACAUAGCGGCACAUGCGAUGGCAACAGAACCCGUGAGACCCUGGGGAAAGAACUGACUUUUCGAGGGCCUGCUGCAAGGGAGGGGCUAAGCCUGGCCUAGAACUUUAGUUACCUGAAAACUUGAUUUUUUUGUGUUAUUCUAACGUGCAGAGGGCCUGUGCCAGGCCUACCAAGGAGUGAGCUGAUGCGGCUGAGAGUUUUGGAAUGUGAGGCUGGGAUGACAAGCCUGGGGCCUGGCUCUUCUGUGCUCAGUGAGGACUGCUCCAGCCUCAGCCCCAACUCCCAGCAAAGCCCAGGUGUGGGGAGCAGGGGAGGUGAGACAGAGAUGAGGAGGGACAGAAAUGUGGUUUCACACCUGACCCAGCAAUUCCUGCAGCUGGGAAGCAUGGCGACUCAGAAUGCCGAUGCCUGCCCGAGGCUUCGGCUUCUUGUCCCGCGUUUUGGAGACCAUAUCUGGAGAGGCACAGUGUGAGGGGCAUGGGGAGGCAGGAGUAGGACUGCAGCAGAGAGGGGUUUUGCAACCAGCCUCUGGCUGGUCAGCACAGGAGUGUCAGGUUCUUUGCUGUGGGGCUGCUGGGGAUGAGAGAGGCAGGAAGAACCCCUGUGAAGAACAGUGAGAAGGGUAGGGGCCAGGGGCCUGCAGGGUGAUGGCAGGCUUUGAAGGGUGUGAAAGGCUGCCACAGCUGAGGCCCGGCUAUACCCAGGAGGGAGCAAGCAGCCUGAUGCCUGAGCUGGCCUGGCCCAUUCACCUCUUGUGGCC